GAGGAGGUAGUUUAAUAAAAUGGAAGAUUGUCAAUCUUUUGAUGUCAAAAUAGAUCCUUCUUU
rnacentral:tRNA from 1 species